UACGGAGGGUGCAAACGUUGCUCGGAAUCAUUGGGCGUAAAGCGCACGUAGGCGGUUCGAUAAGUCGGAUGUGAAAGCCCUCGGCUCAACCAAGGAAGUGCAUUCGAAACUGUCGGACUUGAGUACGGGAGGGGGUUGCGGAAUUCCCGGUGUAGAGGUGAAAUUCGUAGAUAUCGGGAGGAACACCAGUGGCGAAGGCGGCAACCUGGACCGAUACUGACGCUGAGGUGCGAAAGCGUGGGGAGCAAACAGG
rnacentral:rRNA from 1 species